rnacentral:rRNA from 1 species
AGUCGAGCGAACGGACGAGAAGCUUGCUUCUCUGAUGUUAGCGGCGGACGGGUGAGUAACACGUGGAUAACCUACCUAUAAGACUGGGAUAACUUCGGGAAACCGGAGCUAAUACCGGAUAAUAUUUUGAACCGCAUGGUUCAAAAGUGAAAGACGGUCUUGCUGUCACUUAUAGAUGGAUCCGCGCUGCAUUAGCUAGUUGGUAAGGUAACGGCUUACUAAGGCAACGAUGCAUAGCCGACCUGAGAGGGUGAUCGGCCACACUGGAACUGAGACACGGUCCAGACUCCUACGGGAGGCAGCAGUAGGGAAUCUUCCGCAAUGGGCGAAAGCCUGACGGAGCAACGCCGCGUGAGUGAUGAAGGUCUUCGGAUCGUAAAACUCUGUUAUUAGGGAAGAACAUAUGUGUAAGUAACUGUGCACAUCUUGACGGUACCUAAUCAGAAAGCCACGGCUAACUACGUGCCAGCAGCCGCGGUAAUACGUAGGUGGCAAGCGUUAUCCGGAAUUAUUGGGCGUAAAGCGCGCGUAGGCGGUUUUUUAAGUCUGAUGUGAAAGCCCACGGCUCAACCGUGGAGGGUCAUUGGAAACUGGAAAACUUGAGUGCAGAAGAGGAAAGUGGAAUUCCAUGUGUAGCGGUGAAAUGCGCAGAGAUAUGGAGGAACACCAGUGGC